rnacentral:rRNA from 1 species
UACGUAGGGGGCAAGCGUUGUCCGGAAUCAUUGGGCGUAAAGCGCGUGUAGGCGGCCCGGUAAGUCCGCUGUGAAAGUCGGGGGCUCAACCCUCGAAUGCCGGUGGAUACUGUCGGGCUAGAGUGCGGGAGAGGCGGGUGGAAUUCCUGGUGUAGCGGUGAAAUGCGCAGAUAUCAGGAGGAACACCAAUUGCGAAGGCAGCUCGCUGGAACGUAACUGACGCUGAGACGCGAAAGCGUGGGGAGCAAACAGG